AUGGGCGCCCACCCUUACGUGCCGGCGAGCCUGGACCUCCCGGGCUACGUGCCGCUGCGCCUCACCCAGCUCGAGAUCCUCGGGGCCUACCUCGGCACCUCCCUCUUCGUCCUCGUCGCCGUCUGGCUCCUCUCCGGGAGAUGCCGCAGGUUGUCCGGCACCGACCGCCUGCUCAUGUGCUGGUGGGCGUUCACCGGCCUCACCCACAUACUCAUCGAGGGCCCCUUCGUCUUCACCCCCGAUUUCUUCACCAAGACCAACCCCAACUUCUUCGACGAAGUCUGGAAGGAGUACAGCAAGGGUGACUCCAGGUACGUCGCCAGGGACACCGCCACCGUCACCGUCGAAGGAAUCACGGCCGUGCUGAAAGGCCCUGCCUCGCUGCUCGCAGUCUAUGCCAUUGCAUCACGCAAGUCCUACAGCCACAUCCUCCAGUUCGCCGUGUGCCUCGGUCAGCUCUACGGAUGCAUCGUCUACUUCACCACCGCCUACUUGGACGGCUUCAACUUCUGGGCCAGUCCGUUCUACUUCUGGGCAUAUUUCAUCGGCGCAAACAGUUCAUGGGUUGUGAUACCGUUGCUGAUCGCCACAAGGAGCUGGAAGAGGAUCUGCGCAGCGAUUCAUCAAAGUGAGAAGAUCAAGACUAAGUAA
rnacentral:rRNA from 1 species